CAAAAGGAAUUUACUAUUUUACAAACAAAUUAUUGCAUUGGCAACAUUGUCUUACUUUUAUGGUCUUGAAUUACGUUUUGCAGUGAUCACACAUACUUUUUAAAAUUAUACAUAUAUUUAAAGUACAAUGAAUCCUGCUGAAGCUUAAGGUAGAGAAAAUAUAAUCUUUGCGUAGUUUCUGUAUACCCUAUAAUGCGAUGUAUGUGUGUCUGAUAGGUAUUCUCGUAUAAUAAGAAUAAAGUUUCGUAAGUAGAUUGCCAAAUUUAAAAAUUUUGCUGUGAUAGUUUGAUCGUAAAUGUUAAAUGUGUACUGUUACUGUACCUAGCCAUUAAAUUGUUAUAAUUAAGAAAUUAUAAUAAUUGUGUGAUAAUAAAUAAAUAAAUAAUAAGUAUUAAGUACGAGGCGAGAGUGUGAUCCUUAGCUCGACGAGCUUACGAGCUCGAGGCGAGACAUUGAGACGAGCCGCGAAUGUAAAUCUGCUAUAAAGGUGUCGUUACUAGUCGUGCCCACCGCGCCAAGACCACUAUAAUAAUAGGUGUUAUGGCGGACGCUGUCAAAUUACUAUACUUACACUUACGAGUAGGGUUUACAUUAGCUCGCUUGCGCCCGGGAUCUUGGCGUUUGAGUGAUGUUUGUGUUUAUGACAUAAGGCGUUCAAAGGGUUAA